GACAGAGGAUGCAAGCGUUAUCCGGAAUGAUUGGGCGUAAAGCGUCUGUAGGUGGCUUUUAAGUCUGCCGUCAAAUCCCAGGGCUUAACCCUGGACAGGCGGUGGAAACUACCAAGCUGGAGUACGGUAGGGCAGAGGGAAUUUCCGGUGGAGCGGUGAAAUGCGUAGAGAUCGGAAAGAACACCAACGGCGAAAGCACUCUGCUGGCCGACACUGACACUGAGAGACGAAAGCUAGGGAGCGAAUGG
rnacentral:rRNA from 1 species